UUGUAACUGUACUACUGCAUAUUUUAAUUUGCUGGAAGUUAAGGCUUUGAAAUACUCAAGAUACAUCUGUUGCAGGUUGCAUUCUGAAAAAGGAUAGCUACUUCAAAGUGCUGUGCCCAGGAUAAAUUGCUAAUCCAGGAAUGAAGCCAUGGAUAUAUAGAGCUACAAGUAUAAGGCAGCAAAAAAUGCUUUGAUCAGGAGACAUGAGAAGACUCGAUCUUCUGUCUAGUGCUGACACAGGCAUCAGAUGUCUUGUUGAAUCUCUCAUUCUCCUGGACAAGGGCAGUGGUGACAGAUCUCAUCUGGGGCAGAGGGAGGAUGACCAAGGGAGAGAAAAUUCUCAUCUGCUGAAUUUCACCCUGCUCUUCCUGAGCCAGUAGGACAAAGAAGGAACAUGGAAUGGUUGCCUCAACUGCUGAGCAGAGAGGGUGCUCUAGAGCUAAGACGUACUGCCAGGAUAAAAUCAAACAGUUAUAGGACGGCAGAUUGAUGGCUCCUCUGAUCCAGCAAGAAUGGCUCGCAUGAGACGGAGGAGGUACUGCAGCCUGAGUGUCAUAAAGCAAGACCUGGAAAAGAGGGUGACAAUGGCAAACGGUAGUUUUUUAGAAGCUUGUACUAAUACCUGAUCUGUAGAGCCGGAUCCAUUACAGCCUUGAUCAAGAGAAAUUCAAAACAGCAGUUGAGCCUGUCAGAGAUCCAGUCUUUCUUUGUAGGAUGAAGUAGUAGAGGAAGAAGAGGAAGAAGAAAACAGAGGGUAAAGGAAGCUGGAGAUAAAGUUUGGAAUGGGGAAGAUGAGGUUAUCAGUGACCAACACUGCAAUUCUAUCUUGAUACCUCCGUUGACUUAGUGCCUGGCUCUGCAUGACUGUGGAGCAUCCCUGGGAGAUACUGAAUGUUAGAUAUCACUUGAGGUGUUAAAGUCUGUCCUAGAAAGCUGUUUGCUCUAUUCCCAGGACAGGGUCUUUAGACUCUGAAGUAUUAAAAACUGUCCCUUAGCCUCGAUAACAUCUUAAUGCAAUAUCAAUUAUUAAUAAUAAAUAAAUUCCCUUAGCAUUCCUAUAAAGAAAA
rnacentral:lncRNA from 1 species